rnacentral:rRNA from 1 species
UACGUAGGGUGCAAGCGUUAAUCGGAAUUACUGGGCGUAAAGCGUGCGCAGGCGGUUUUGUAAGUCAGAUGUGAAAUCCCCGGGCUUAACCUGGGAACUGCGUUUGAAACUACAAGGCUAGAGUGUGGCAGAGGGGGGUAGAAUUCCACGUGUAGCAGUGAAAUGCGUAGAGAUGUGGAGGAAUACCGAUGGCGAAGGCAGCCCCCUGGGAUAACACUGACGCUCAUGCACGAAAGCGUGGGGAGCAAACAGG